CCGUCGAGAGAUAAUCGGGAAGAAGUUUUCUUUUCUGUUUAUAAGCCGUACUACCAUGGAAGUCUUUCGCAGAGAGAUAUGGUAGAUGGGCUAGAAGAGCAUGACAUAUACUGUUGUGUCGAUAUUUUCUCCUCGGACCUUGAAAAUUUAUGGUGGGGACACGCAAACUUCUCAACAGGCCGUACCAAUAUCCGCAGCUGGUCUCCAAGGUGAAGAGUCUCUAGUCGAUAGAAUAAUGUAGGUAAGGGAAGUCGGCAAAUUAGAUCCGUAACUUCGGGAUAAGGAUUGGCUCUGAAGAUUGAGAUAGUCGGGCUUGAUUGGGAAACAAUAACAUGGUUUAUGUGCUCGUUCUGGGUAAAUAGAGUUUCUAGCAUUUAUGUUAGUUACUUGUUCCCCGGAUAGUUUAGUUACGUAGCCAAUUGUGGAACUUUCUUGCUAAAAUUUUUAAGAAUACUAUUUGGGUUAAACCAAUUAGUUCUUAUCAAUUAUAACGAUUAUCAAUUAACAAUCAAUUCAGAACUGGCACGGACUUGGGGAAUCCGACUGUCUAAUUAAAACAAAGCAUUGUGAUGGCCCUAGCGGGUGUUGACACAAUGUGAUUUCUGCCCAGUGCUCUGAAUGUCAAAGUGAAGAAAUUCAAGUAAGCGCAGGUAGCCAAAUGCCUCGUCAUCUAAUUAGUGACGCGCAUGAAUGGAUUAACGAGAUUCCUACUGUCCCUAUCUACUAUCUAGCGAAACCACAGCCAAGGGAACGGGCUUGGAAUAAUUAGCGGGGAAAGAAGACCCUUUUGAGCUUGACUCUAAUCUGGCAGUGUAAGGAGACAUAAGAGGUGUAGAAUAAGUGGGAGAUAUUAGACCUCGGUUUGGUAUCGUCAAUGAAAUACCACUACUCUUAUUGUUUCCUUACUUACUUGAUUAAAUGGAACGUGUAUCAUUUCCUAGCCAUUAUACGGAUAUAUUUAUUAUAUCUUAUGGUAUUGGGUUUUGAUGCAAGCUUCUUGAUCAAAGUAUCACGAGUUUGUUAUAUAAUCGCAAACAAAUUCUUUAAUAAAACGAUGCAUUUAUGUAUUUUUGAUUUGAAAAUUUGGUAUAACUCCAAUUACUCAGGUAUGAUCCAAUUCAAGGACAUUGCCAGGUAGGGAGUUUGACUGGGGCGGUACAUCUCUCAAAUAAUAACGGAGGUGUCCCAAGGCCAGCUCAGUGCGGACAGAAACCACACAUAGAGCAAAAGGGCAAAUGCUGACUUGAUCUCGGUGUUCAGUACACACAGGGACAGCAAAAGCUCGGCCUAUCGAUCCUUUUGGUUUAAAGAGUUUUUAACAAGAGGUGUCAGAAAAGUUACCAUAGGGAUAACUGGCUUGUGGCGGCCAAGCGUUCAUAGCGACGUCGCUUUUUGAUCCUUCGAUGUCGGCUCUUCCUAUCAUUGUGAAGCAAAAUUCACCAAGCGUUGGAUUGUUCACCCAUGCAAGGGAACGUGAGCUGGGUUUAGACCGUCGUGAGACAGGUUAGUUUUACCCUACUAAUGACAAAACGUUGUUGCGACAGCAUUCCUGCGUAGUACGAGAGGAACCGCAGGUACGGACCAAUGGCACAAUACUUGUUCGAGCGAACAGUGGUAUGACGCUACGUCCGUUGGAUUAUGCCUGAACGCCUCUAAGGUCGUAUCCGUGCUGGACUGCAAUGAUAAAUAAGGGGCAAUUUGCAUUGU
rnacentral:rRNA from 1 species